AUUGAACGCUGGCGGCAGGCCUAACACAUGCAAGUCGAGCGGAGCGGCGGACGGGUGCGUAAUGCCUAGGAAUCUGCCCGGUAGUGGGUGAUAACGUCCGGAAACGGGCGCUAAUACCGCAUACUAGAUGAUGAGCCUAGGUCGGAUUAGCUGGUUGGUGGGGUAAAGGCCUACCAAGCCGACGCUCCGUAACUGGUCUGAGAGGAUGAUCAGUCACACUGGAACUGAGACACGGUCCAGACUCCUACGCGAGGCAGCAGUGGAGAAUAUUGGACAAUGGGCGAAACCCUGAUCCAGCCAUGCCGCGUGUGUGAAGAAGGUCUGGGGAUGGUAAAGCACUUUAAGUUGGGAGGCGUUACCAACAGAAUAAGCACCGGCUAACUCCGUGCCAGCAGCCGCGGUAAUUC
rnacentral:rRNA from 1 species